GAUGAACGCUGGCGGCGUGCCUAAUACAUGCAAGUCGAGCGAACAGAUAAGGAGCUUGCUCCUUUGACGUUAGCGGCGGACGGGUGAGUAACACGUGGGUAACCUACCUAUAAGACUGGAAUAACUCCGGGAAACCGGGGCUAAUGCCGGAUAACAUUUAGAACCGCAUGGUUCUAAAGUGAAAGAUGGUUUUACUAUCACUUAUAGAUGGACCCGCGCCGUAUUAGCUAGUUGGUAAGGUAACGGCUUACCAAGGCAACGAUACGUAGCCGACCUGAGAGGGUGAUCGGCCACACUGGAACUGAGACACGGUCCAAACUCCUACGGGAGGCAGCAGUAGGGAAUCUUCCGCAAUGGGCGAAAGCCUGACGGAGCAACGCCGCGUGAGUGAUGAAGGUCUUCGGAUCGUAAAACUCUGUUAUUAGGGAAGAACAAAUGUGUAAGUAACUGUGCACGUCUUGACGGUACCUAAUCAGAAAGCCACGGCUAACUACGUG
rnacentral:rRNA from 1 species